GACGAACGCUGGCGGCGUGCUUAACACAUGCAAGUCGAGCGGUAAGGCCCCUUCGGGGGUACACGAGCGGCGAACGGGUGAGUAACACGUGAGCAAUCUGCCCAUCACAUCGGGAUAACUCCGGGAAACCGAAGCUAAUACCGAAUACGACCACCUCCGGCAUCGGAUGGUGGUGGAAAGUUCCGGCGGUGAUGGAUGAGCUCGCGGCCUAUCAGCUUGUUGGUGGGGUAACGGCCCACCAAGGCUUCGACGGGUAGCCGGCCUGAGAGGGUGACCGGCCACACUGGUACUGAGACACGGCCCAGACUCCUACGGGAGGCAGCAGUGGGGAAUAUUGGACAAUGGGCGAAAGCCUGAUCCAGCAACGCCGCGUGAGGGAUGACGGCCUUCGGGUUGUAAACCUCUUUCAGCAGGGACGAAGCGCAAGUGACGGUACCUGCAGAAGAAGCACCGGCCAACUACGUG
rnacentral:rRNA from 1 species